GUUCCAGACUCCUACGGGAGGCAGCAGUGAGGAAUAUUGGUCAAUGGCCGAGAGGCUGAACCAGCCAAGUCGCGUGAGGGAAGAAUGUCCUAAGGAUUGUAAACCUCUUUUGUCAGGGAGCAACGCCGGCUACGUGUAGCCGGACUGAGAGUACCUGAAGAAAAAGCAUCGGCUAACUCCGUGCCAGCAGCCGCGGUAAUACGGAGGAUGCGAGCGUUAUCCGGAUUUAUUGGGUUUAAAGGGUGCGUAGGCGGGCUGUUAAGUCAGCGGUAAAAUGUCGGGGCUCAACCCCGGCCUGCCGUUGAAACUGGCGGCCUCGAGUGGGCGAGAAGUAUGCGGAAUGCGUGGUGUAGCGGUGAAAUGCAUAGAUAUCACGCAGAACUCCGAUUGCGAAGGCAGCAUACCGGCGCCCGACCGACGCUGAGGCACGAAAGCGUGGGUAUCGAACAGGAUUAGAUACCCCAGUA
rnacentral:rRNA from 1 species